UUCCGUAGGUGGUUCGCCUACCAGAGCCUGCCGUGACUAUAAAUAAUGGCGCAGUCUGCCAGCGUUGCAGGCAACAUCUCUAACAUGCUAGAAGUUACUGUAUAGUAUCACUAGCAGCACGCUUCGUCGUGUUCACAGAUCAAAUAGAGGUGGCCCCUAGGGGUUAAGACAUGAUCGAUUAGAAGCCUGAAAUGGAUUCUCCUGAUUUUCAAAGGAACCUGCGGAAGGAUCAUUACAGAGAACUUGCCCUUCGGGGUAGAUCUCCCACCCUUUGUUUACAUUACCUUUGUUGCUUUGGCGGGCCCGUCUCACGACCACCGGCUUCGGCUGGUCAGCGCCCGCCAGAGGACCCAAAACUCUUUUGUUAAUGUCGUCUGAGUACUAUAUAAUAGUUAAAACUUUCAACAACGGAUCUCUUGGUUCUGGCAUCGAUGAAGAACGCAGCGAAAUGCGAUAAGUAAUGUGAAUUGCAGAAUUCAGUGAAUCAUCGAAUCUUUGAACGCACAUUGCGCCCUCUGGUAUUCCGGGGGGCAUGCCUGUUCGAGCGUCAUUACAACCCUCAAGCUCUGCUUGGUAUUGGGCGUCACUGUCUCCGGUGCGCCUUAAAAUCAGUGGCGGUGCCAUUAGGCUUCAAGCGUAGUAAUUCUUCUCGCUCUGGAGUUCUGGUGUGUGCUUGCCAACAACCCCUAAUUUUAUCAAGGU
rnacentral:rRNA from 1 species